UGAACAUGAUUCAGGCUCAGCUAUCUGAGUUUGUAAACGAUGCUUUAUUCUCAUCAGUUUCAUGCAAGCAUCCUUCCCAGCCACCUCCUCUCAUGGUGCCCAUUACUGUUAUCAAUGGAGCUACUGCCAAAAGAGCUGUAUGUUUGGAUGGAACAUUGACUGCCUAUCACUUUCAUCCUGGAUCUGGAUCCGGAUCAGGAGCCAAUAGUUGGCUCAUUGACUUAGAGCCCUAAAUCGAAAGUCACUGAAACUAGACCAGAUGUUGAGAAUUUGAUACUUGGAAAACAGAUGAGAAAUGAAAAAAUAUAAGGAGGCAAAGAACCUGAGGCAGAGGAUCAAUUCAUGACCCCACUGUUUGAAUCAAUGGACACAAUAAUGAUGAAUGGUUUUUGUACAGAUGAAGUUCCAAUUUUAGAACCUAAUUAAGCAACAUUAUUGUAUAUUUUGACUUAAUUAGAGGACAAUAGUUGAUGUAUCAAUACACUUUGUUGAUG